CACGUAGGGCGCAAGCGUUGUCCGGAAUUAUUGGGCGUAAAGAGCGCGUAGGCGGUCUGUUGCGUCCGCUGGGAAAACUCGGGGCUUAACCCCGAGCCUGCAGUGGAUACGGGCAGACUAGAGGUAGGUAGGGGAGAAUGGAAUUCCCGGUGUAGCGGUGAAAUGCGCAGAUAUCGGGAGGAACACCGGUGGCGAAGGCGGUUCUCUGGGCCUUACCUGACGCUGAGGAGCGAAAGCGUGGGGAGCGAACAGG
rnacentral:rRNA from 1 species